rnacentral:rRNA from 1 species
CCUACGGGUGGCAGCAGUGAGGAAUAUUGGUCAAUGGCCGAGAGGCUGAACCAGCCAAGUCGCGUGAGGGAAGACGGCCCUACGGGUUGUAAACCUCUUUUGUCGGGGAGCAAAGAGAGUCACGUGUGACGCAUUGAGAGUACCCGAAGAAAAAGCAUCGGCUAACUCCGUGCCAGCAGCCGCGGUAAUACGGAGGAUGCGAGCGUUAUCCGGAUUUAUUGGGUUUAAAGGGUGCGCAGGCGGAGGUGCAAGUCAGGAGUAAAAUUGCGGGGCUCAACCCCGUACUGCCGUUGAAACUGCAUCCCUUGAGUGCGCGAGAAGUAUGCGGAAUGCGUGGUGUAGCGGUGAAAUGCAUAGAUAUCACGCAGAACUCCGAUUGCGAAGGCAGCAUACCGGCGCGCAACUGACGCUCAUGCACGAAAGCGUGGGUAGCGAACAGGAUUAGAUACCCUAGUAGUC